rnacentral:lncRNA from 1 species
ACCGCCGAGAAGAGUUCAGUUCUACAAGUACGUUUGAAAUGUAAAGACAUUUCCGUGGAACUCCAGGUGCCACACCUGCCGGUUUGAAUUUGUCUGUUGUCGCUAAGUAUUUAAUCAAGAGAAUGGUUUGGUCUAUUGUUCUGUGACCAUAGAAGAACCCCGUGCAAGGUUCCGCUCCAUAAUAUUGGAUUUUUACAGUGGAAAUCGGGUAUAUACGCAGUAACAUGUUGUGGCGACGUAGUUUUUAGCCGGUGUGGUGGUGGAAGUUUUUCUUCUAAAGCCCUAGUUAUUAGCCAUGGAUGGUUAAUAUCCCCUAUCGAAGUCCCGUAGAGAUGAUGGUUUAAGUUCCCGUUCCAGUAUAAGUAUAUUUUCCUGUUUCGAAGUUGUGCAUGUUGUCUCUCCUGCACCCCGUGUCAAGUACACCGAAGUAUCUUUGUCUGAUGAAGAACCCCUUUCCCCCGUGUAGUGAUUGAAGUGUGACGAUGGGAUUUUGUUAAAAUAAAAAGAGUAAAAGGAGAAGGAAUUUGGCAUAGAAGCCAGUGUUGAGAAAAAGUAGCCCAGUUUAACCCCAAAGAGGAAUCAAAGAUGAAUGUCCCCCAUUUGGUAACCGUAAUCCAGUAAGUACCCAUAUGUGAACCAGGGGAUUUAUUUCGAACGGCGUCCUUUUUGUUAAAUAGUAGAAAGAUCCUCUAGUUUGACUUCAGGUGGAACCAUAGUGGAGGGUGCACUUUUAAUGAUACGGACUUGAUCAUUUACAAUUUGGGAGCCGAAACCAACUAUAACAACUAAUUCGUCUUCAAUCCCCAAGGUGAAACUUUUACAGUAUGUGAUAACAACUGUGUUUAUGUAGAACCUUCGAGCCAAGAACUUAAAUCUACAAACAACUGUGAUGAAAGAAAUAACACGUUUGCUAUUUUCUUUGAAGAACUGAGGCCAUCGACUUCUAAAAUAAAUUUGGACUGUUUCAAAUAGUUCAUCUAAGUAUAACAACUGCUUUCUAGUUUGCAAUAUCGACAAAAUACAAAAUGUUAUGAAAAGAUAAUAAAAACUAUAAAAUCAAAUGAAAUGACUUUCAUUUAGAUAAGUUCUGUUAAAAAAUUCAUCGCCUUACAUAUAACAGCCCAGUAAAUCAGCGUUUUGGAGUGUAAUUUUCACGGUCAUCUCCGAAUUGCUUGAAAAUCUGGAUGUAAGUUCUACUUGUUUACGUACAUUUAUAAUGAUAUCUGACAAUACGAACCAGUACGCCAAUGCGGCUAAUAUUAAUACAUAUAUGGUUCAUUUUUUACUACCCCGCGCUCUCAAGCGGAGGGGACCAGAGGGGCCUGUUUCAUAAA